UACGAGGGGGGCGAGCGUUGUUCGGAAUUAUUGGGCGUAAAGGGUGCAUAGGCGGUUUGGUAAGUCUUAUGUGAAAUCUAUGGGCUCAACUCAUAGACUGCAUGAGAAACUGCCGGGCUUGAGUAUGGGAGAGGGAUGCGGAAUUCCAGGUGUAGCGGUGAAAUGCGUAGAUAUCUGGAGGAACACCGGUGGCGAAGGCGGCAUCCUGGACCAACACUGACACUGAGGAGCGAAAGCCAGGGGAGCAAACGGG
rnacentral:rRNA from 1 species